rnacentral:piRNA from 1 species
ACCCUGGGCUGGGUGAAGCUCACCUGC